GUAUUUUGACUAUACAAAGGUAUUGAAAUAAGAUUUUAAUUGAAUGCUAAGAGAAUGGAUUAACAAAAAAAUUCUUUUUUAAUUUUAAAAAUAAAAAUUAAUUUUUUUUGUGAAGAAGCAAAAAUAAAAAUUAAGGACAAGAAGACCCUAAGAAUUUUUAGUCUAAAAUUUUAGAUCUAAAAUUUUAGACUUUAAUUGGGGCGAUUAAUAAAAAUUUUGAACUUUAUUUUUAAAAAUAAAAUGAACCGUUAUUAGCGGUAA
rnacentral:rRNA from 1 species